CAUUGAUGACAUAUGGGUCAUUGGUCAACAUGGUGUAUUUACUUAUGGUGGCCAUGGAUGACAUAUGGGUCAUUGGUCAACAUGGUGUGUAGUUGCUUAUGUUGGUCAACUAGGUGUAGUUGCUUAUGGUGUCCAUGGAUGACAUAAGGGUCAUUAGUUAACAUGGUGUAGUUACUUAUGGUGUCCAUGGAUGACAUAUGGGUUAUUGGUCAACAUGGUAGUUGCUUAUAGUGUCCAUGGAUGUUAUAUGGGUCAUUGGUCAACAAGGUGUAGUUGCUUAUGGUGUCCAUGGAUGACAUAUGCUUCAUUGGUCAACAUGGUGUAGUUUCUUAUGGUGUCCAUGAAUGACAUAUGGGUCAUUGGUCAACAUGGUGUAGUUGCUUAUGGUGUCCAUUGAUGACAUAUGGGUCAUUGGUCAACAUGUAGUUGCUUGUGGUGUCCAUUGAUAACAUAUGGGUCAUUAGUCAACAUGGUGUAUUUGCUUAUGGUGUUCAUGGAUGACAUAUAGGUCAUUGGUCAACAUGGUGUGUAGUUGCUUAUGUUGGUAACCAUGGUGUAGUUGCUUAUGGUGUCCAUGGAUGACAUACGGUUCAUUGGUCAACAUGGUAGUUGCUUAUGGUGUGAUGGUAUCACCCAUGGAUAACAUAUAGGCAAUUGGUCAACAUGUAGUUGCUUAUGGUUUCCACGUAUGACAUAUGUGUCAUUGGUCAACAUGGUAGUUGGUUAUGGUGUCCAUGGAUGACGUAUAGGUCAUUAGUCAACAUGGUGUAGUUGCUUUUGGUGUCCAUGGAUAACAUAUAGGUCAUUGGUCAACAUGGUAGUUGCUUAUGGUGUCCAUGUAUGACAU
rnacentral:lncRNA from 1 species